AUUUGGGUUCUUUCUCUCCUCUUUUUAGUGAGUCUGGCCAGGGGUUUGUCAAUUUUGUUCACCUUUUCAAAGAACCAGCUCUUGGUUUUAUUAAUUUUCUUGAAUUGCUUUAUUGUUUAUUGUACUUUUAGUCAUAUGUACAUCUUCCUCCUUCACAAAUUAAAGACUGUAACUUCAUUUUGCCAUCCAACUGUGAUAAGGUGUUAACAACUGACGAGUUGGUGUUUAGAGUACAGGGUGUUUACUACACUAUUUUUGCAAAUUUCUUGUAGGUUUGAAAAAUUUCAAAUUAAAAUGUUGAGGGGGAAAAAAAACGAGUUGGUAAUUUACACCUCCAAGGAAUGUGACGUAAAUAACCAAAAUGCAAAUAACACAAAUGCUCAAGGUGAAACUUGUGAAGCAACUACCUGCUUGCUGAAGCUGAGCAGGUUUUUUAUUUGAACGCUUUUCCUUUCCCCCUAAUAUAUCUUCACUGAGAGCAUAUCAGAUAAUGACCAGAAUUUCCCUCCACCCAUUUCUGUCUAACUUCCUCACUUCUCAGCUCUGUUUCCAAUAACGGAAUACAUUUAGCUGCAAAAAUCACUUCUUAUUAGAAUUUCAGUAAACAUAACCUUCCUAGAGUCUAAAAGACUCUGGCUUCUUUCCUUUCAUUGGAACAAAAUUACACAUAAAAUGUGAUUUCUGACAACAUACUUCCCAUGAGGAUGCGGGUUCGAUCCCUGGCCUCGCUCAGUGGAUUGAGGAUUCGGCAUUGCCGUGAGCUAUGGUGUAUGUCACAGAUGCAGACUGGAUCCCGUGUUGCUGUGGCGGUGUUUUAGGUUGGCAGCUGUAGCUCCGAUUCAACCCCUAGACUGGAAACCUCCAUGUGCCACUGGUGCGGCCCUAAAAAGACAAAAAGCCAAAAUUGGAACCCGCAACAUACCAUUUGUGGGAAUGUAAAAUGGUUGGUGGGGCCACUAUGGAAGAGUCUGGCAGUUCCUCAAAAAGCUAAACAUGCAAUUAUCAUAUGACUUGACAAUUCUACUCACAGAUAUAUACCUAAAGGAACUGGAAGCAGGGACUCAGAGACACUUGUACACCAAUGUUCACAACAGCAUUAUUCACAACAGCCAAAAGGCAGAAAUGAUCCAAGCAUCCAUCGACAAUGAACGAAUGAACAAAAUGUGGUAUACAUGUACAAUGGAAUAUAUAUUCAGCCAUACCAAGGAAUGAAGUUCUACACAGAGUCUCCAACAAGGAUGAAACUUUAAAAUAUGCACACGAAGACUAAAGUACUUAAGCACAUAUUCAAUGGUGGUUUGUAUCUCAAGCUUAAAAUCUUUAAAAAAAGCUAGUUUAAUGAUCCUUUAAUUUAGGCACUGCAUAAAUUAAAUUUCACAAGGAGAUUAAAUUACAGCCUAUUUGUUUUUAAGAGACACCAGCAAAAAAAAAAAAAAAAAAAAAAAA
rnacentral:lncRNA from 1 species